UACGUAGGGGGCGAGCGUUAAUCGGAAUUACUGGGCGUAAAGUGCGCGCAGGCGGCUGAGCAAGUCGAGUGUGAAAGCCCCGGGCUUAACUUGGGAAUUGCGCUCGAAACUACUUUGCUGGAGUGUGGCAGAGGAAGGUGGAAUUCCACGUGUAGCGGUGAAAUGCGUAGAGAUGUGGAGGAACACCAAUGGCGAAGGCAGCCUUCUGGGCCAACACUGACGCUCAUGCACGAAAGCGUGGGGAGCAAACAGG
rnacentral:rRNA from 1 species